GGGACAGGAACGCGCGCCGCCGGGAGGCCGAGGAGGCAGCCGGAGAGCGCGCCCGCGAGUGGGAGCGGGAGGGGAGGCGGGGAGCUGCGGGCGGCGCGGGCUGGACUCAACCAUCCCCGCGGAGGGGCGGGGGCUGCCUCGGCGCGCACGCUGCAGAAGGAGACUCGUUGGCUCGCGUGGGGAAGCCCACGCCGCGCACGGCACGCGGGAGAAACCACGCGAGGGAGCAAGGGAGCGAAGGAGCGGGGCCGCGGGCGAGCCGGGUGCUGCGGGACUCAGGCUGGCCGGCCUCCAUGGACUGCUUUCUCCUUGAGGAGCAGAGCGCCAAGCGAGCCCUGCGAAUUCUGCCUGCUGUGUGCUCCCUACACUGUGAUCCUGUGGCGUGGCGGUGAACCCAGAAGCCGCGGGGGGACUACAGGCUGCAGAUGUAAGCCCUGAGCGCCAGUUCACCCAGUUCACGGAGGGCUCCUGUGGCCCCUGCGGCCAGAAGCUUUCUCUUCUAGAGGCAGCAGCUUCCAAACUGGAGGAACUGCGUCACAUCUCCAGAAGUGACUCGGGUUGUCCCGGGGCAGGGUCCUUUUUGAUAUUUUUAUUUAUUUUUUGCCUCUGUUAUCCUUGGAGGGAGAACAGAAAAACAAGAGCUCAGGAAACCCCAGAAAUUCCCAGGGGAGAACCGUGGCUUCCACUGUUUAGGCUGAACCAGGUAUGUGGAGGGGAGGGUCACCCCUCUGUGAUUUUAACUCAGAGCCCAGGGUACCUGUAACUCUGCAAGUGAGCAAAAACGCCUUUUUAAGACCCAGUAAGUGCUCCAGUAGUUCACUUUGAGCUCAUCAGGAAAAAUUGAUCUCCUUCAGGAGCUAAGGAGAAAGUGUCCUGGCUUUGCACUGCCAUCCCUAACGACUUGUGUCACCUAGAAGCAUUUCUGCCAUUAGAAAACGUUUCCAAAAUCGAACUCUCCUGGGCUAUGACUCCUACGUGACUUCCAGGCUAUUAGGAUCCCAGGACUGCAGUUGAGUAUCCCUUGGGAAACCAGACACCUUCCCCAGAGAUGCUGACUCCCAGGCUCCACAUUCAGCUCCCCCUCACCCUGAUCCACUUAGAAAACCUUUGCCCUUUCCCCCCAGUGUCCGUGGAAGAGAUUCCAUUCAAAUCAUUGCUAACUGAAGAUUCUGAUAACCAGGAGCCAUGCAGUGUUGCUGCAUUUAUAACGAGACAUUGUCUUCCACCAGAUAGAAGAUAAAGAGCUCUAAUAAUUCAUGACAAGUUGUUUCGUGGUCAUACGUAGGAGAGGGUGGGAAAUGGCCGUCAAAUAAGAUAGGCCGAAUUUGUAAUCUGGCUGUGUUUGUGAGUUAGUAUUGCAAUCUCCCAAGAUGGGCAAUUGCUUUGGAGGGAAAUCGUGGGGCACUGCUGCCAUCUAGUGCCCAGGUUUUCUUGUUUGGUGUUUCUAGAGAAAUCCAUCCUUGGGUCUCUGCUCUCUUACCUGAUCGGGGCUCCCUUUACUGUUUUUGAGGGCCCUUCCAGGAGACGCCCUCCCUCCAGGCUGUCAGGCAACAUGUGAAAGUUAUUGUUACACUGGAGGCUUUCUCACUUUGAUUUUGAUUUUAUGAAAUCGCUGUAAAAGUUUGAUCACUACCAAAAUUCAAACGUACAGUGUCCAUUGAGCUUGGGUGCUGGGCCUUCACACCAGGCAUGCUGGUCAUUUGUUGUUGCUGUUGAUGAUGAUGAUGAUGAUGAUGUGGCUGGUUUCUUUUACUCCUAGGCCUUUUAUUAACAUUUGAACAAUUCAUAAUUUAUAUCCAAGUACAGAAUAAAGUUAGACUCUGAGUCUUUCCUUUUAGUCUUUCUAAAUUUUAGCCUCUCAAAAUAUUUUUAAAUGUUGACAUUUUAAAUUUUUCAUCAACACAUAGUAACUACAUGUUUAGGAACACAGUGUGCUAAUUCUACACCUGUAUACAAUGUGCAAGAUGCAAUCAUGGUCAUUGAUUGGCAUUGGAAUCUUCUCAAACAUUUAGCAUUUGUUUGUGUUGGGAAGCUUUGACCUCCCUCUCUCCUAAGUCUUUAUGGUCACUGCUAUGGCUUGUAUCUACCUAGAUCUCCCUCCAAAUCCUCAGGCAGUCAUAGGUGGGGCUUUUGGGAGCUGGCUGGAUCUAGACUGUGUGACACUAAGGUUAAGGUGUUGUGGUACUAAAUUCAUCCACUGAUUGGAAUCAGCAUAGUUCUGGGCGUGGCUGAGUGGAUUUAAUAAAGACAGAAGUUUUGGGUGGUGGCCCCACCCAAAAGGCUUAUAUCCUGGAUGGGAUAAAAAGAAAGGCAGGCUGCUGCGAGCUGCUUGGUGCUUGCUGCUUUGUUGCCUUAUGCCUGCCUUGCCGUGGACUGGUUUCUUCUGGAAUGCACCUUUGUUAUGAUGCCCUGCUUGGAGUCAGCUGACUAUGGUCAGCAACUCCUAAAGCAACUAAGACAGUCACUCGACUCUUCUGGAGACUACUAGAGCUUAUUCUUUCUGGGUGAUUAUAUUUUGGGGUUCAACUCUGUCUCCCAAUCUAGGCACAAAGCUGUCCAUAGCCUUCAGAUCCAGCUGAGCUGCUGUGGACAUUGUGGCCUAUGGGACCAGCCAGGAGUUCAUCAGUACAGUGUUCAAAAGAAGCAGCUCUGGCAUACCAAAAAGUACAAAGAACCCCCCACCCCCAAUCUGGUAGCCACUAAAUAAAGACUAAAUUGCUGAGAUAAUAGUCAAGUAUCUAAAAGAGAGAGUGGGAAUUAAAUAAUUGGAUGAGGGUCAGAAAAUAAGAACGUGAUACUUGAGAUAAAUAUAGAUCUUUUUUAAAAAAUGCACAAAUGAGAAUGCUAAUUAACUAGCAAAGCUGUACAUAUGUGAAAAUCUGAGAGAAUAUACUGUGUUGCCAGGAUGGCUACAUGGCACGUUUGGCUUGUUUAAUGUCAUACCUGAAAAAAUGGGAGAUAGGAAAAUAGUUGGGAGAAUUCCUCUCCUUAACAGAGGGGUCAGUGCCAGGCUGCGUGAUUCAUGCUCCUCUGAUGCAGGAGCAGGAAGUCCAAGGGGCUUAGCAGUGAGAGCAAAAGUCACAUUAAAAGGGAACCUUUUGCAAAGACAUGAAGCACAACCUCACUGACACCAUGGCCACCUCUGUCCCCCUCAAGUCCCUGUCCCAGUGACGAGGAAAAGCAGGCUUUGAGGAAUUGAGUGGUUUACAGGAGGUCUCAUCUCAUUAAAGGUCUCAGCAGCUGAGACACUCAGGGCUCUUGCUGCACCUGCAUAUAAAACCCCGCCUCGCCACUCUGCCCUGACAGACAGAAGAGCACAGGCCCCGGGAAGCCAAGGGGCCUGCCUGCAUGGUUGUCCCUGCUCCUGUAGCUGUCAGAUAGGAACCCAGAGCCAGACGUGCAUGGAGCGCCCCACACUGAGAGUGGAGCACACAUUCUUCCCAAGAGCCUGUGCAGCAUUCUCCAUGACAGGCCAGCACCUGGCCAAUACUGGGAAGAAAGAGAGAGAACAUGACCAUUUGCAACUCUUUGUUCCUGAAAGUCUAGUUGUUUUUUUUUAAAUAACUAUUCAAAUUGGCUGGUUCUAAAAGUAAAAGUGAACCAUUUACCCUUAUUUUUCUCAAAAAGGUAGCCCUUUAUACACACACUUGCACACACACACUGCUUUAGGGUGUAGGAUGACGGGAUAAAGUGAGGUGCAUGCUAUGAAAGAGCCAGUGGGGAGAAAGAGAAAGUCGUGCGUCCUCUCCUUGCACCUUGGGGUAGCUUGAAGGGAGGACAGGGCACACAGCCUGCAACUCCAGGACGCAACACCCUGCCCUGGAGGGCUAAUCACACACAGCACCAGCGGCUGACCCCAGCUCCUGGGUACCUGACACUGCACAUCUGGGAUGGGGCCCUAAAAUUUACAUCUCUAAUUUUGAAGGCUAAAGGACAUGCCUUGGAGCCAUUUCUGUCAUUGUCUAGACAAGAGGGCCUAAUAAGAAUAAAAAAUAAGGACUCCUGCGUCUCAGUGUAUGAUUCCUCAUCUAAAACGUGGAUGAGAGCUUUCUCGUGGGGGAGUUGGAAAAGCCAAACAACAUAGACGCAAGGCCCAGAAGCUGGUGAAGUCUCAAAUAUAUGGUUCUCAUUUUCUGUGUCGUCUCUGAAGGGAAAAGAAGACACCCAGAUGGGCAAAGGCACUUCCAUCUGCUCUGAGCUGUAUUUUAGGAGCCGCAAACUGGAUCUUUCGAGAGAAAGGAACACAUUCAGUCAGUCUCUCCCGGAGUGUCUCGAGGACGGACCUGCUGUUUAUCAACAUGCCUCUGUGGAAGCUCCCAGAGAUCUCCUCAGGGUUUUACUGUGGUCUUGCCCUCCGAGGCUUAGGGCCUUUCUGGGGAUCCGGACAUUCUGUAGUGAAGAUGCUGGAUUGGCCAAAUCCUGUGAGGCGCCGUGGAAAAGUAAGAUCCUCCAUUUCCUGGACAAGAAUCUAUUGGAAAAUCUUAAAGAAGCAAGUUAUCUGCUGGAAGUGGUGGCUGCACCUGUAAUCCCAGCACUUUGAGAGGUGGAGAUGGGAAGCUCACAAGUUUGAACCCAGCCUGGGCCACUCAGCAACUUAGUUAGACAUGGUCUCAAAAAUUAAGGGUUGAGGAUGUAGCUCAGUGCAGAGGCCCUGAGUUCAACGCCUCCACAAAAAGCAAGUCAUCAUCCAUUGAAUUCCCAUAGAUCUGUCAACCUGGAAUGUGUAGAAUUCUGCAGUUCAUGCUGUGAUUCACAGGUAGGAAGAAAAACUCUUCGAGGGACAGCAGUGCGGGUGUGCACUAAGAACAAACCUCACUCGAGUCCUGUAUGUGCCUGCACAGAGGCUGAUUCUGAAAGACACAACGAGCUGUGGGUGUUGUAAAUAAUCGCUGGGAAAAGGAGGGAAACAGCAACAGAAGCACAAGCCUUCUCCAUCCCAACCCACUCCCUCCUGGGCCUCCACCCAAGGCCCUCUGGUGCACAAGGCCUGGCCUGAGCCUGCAGGAAGGCUGGAGCCACGUGUGGACUCCACCCAGCUCAUGACGGAAGUCACCCCUCCCUCGCCACAGGUCACUGCAGCCCCCUUAGCAGCCCCGGCUCUUAUCAAAGCAAUGCCUUCCGUGCUCUUCCUGUCAUUCUGUCAAAGUCUGAGAGAGAGAGAGACCUUCUGCAAUGGAAAGGAGAUCAAGAGAUCCCCUCCCAAGGGAGGGAGGAGAAGCAAAAGGGAGUGUUAUGUGCCUAUACCACCUGCCCACAGCGAAUGCAAUCCUUAUGUGCUGCAAAUUUGCACCAAUAAAAAUAACAAUUAAAAAAAUAAAAUUUAUUAGUUAAUCUGAAAAAAAUCAUUGUCAAUAGUAAUGGCUGGCAGAUAUAUUAAAAAAAAUCCAAUAUCAGGAGAAUGCAAAUGGGAUAUCAUCAAUGGGAUAGCAUCUGACCUCAUUAAAAAU
rnacentral:lncRNA from 1 species